GCAAAACAAUCGUUUGAGGAGAGCUGAAGCUGCACUCUUCCUGGCCUUGUUAAGAAGCCCGUGCUUAACCUAGUGAUCAUCUCCAUAUUUGGGUUUCUCACGUUAAGUGAAUCGAAUGGUUGGUAAAUAAAAAUUUGUAGCUGCAAAAGAGAAGCUGACCAUGUAUAGCAAGAUCAUCCAUCGUUGAAGCCAUCGCCUCCGACGAAAUCUUGAGCAAAUAUUAUUAUGGCAAGAAAAAACUUCAGACGUUGUCAUAGCUGUAGAGGGAGGGGCACUUCUUUGCGAAUUGCCCAAACAAACGAUGAUACCUCUAGUGUAAAAUUGGAUUCGUGAAGUGCUUUGAGAUUUAGAGGGAGACAAAGAACAAGGGAAAAUUGUUCAAUUGCUGCAGUGCUAACUGUAAACACUAGGAAUGGAUUGACGAGAGAGAAUUGAGCCGUAGAUCAAUUACUAUUGCUAUAAACUUGAAUAAUCAUGCAGCACUUGAAGAAGUCCAGCUGUUCUCUCGCAUGUUCUAGUCCUUUUGUUGGGUAACUGAAGAAUAAAACAUGGAGAUUUCUUUGAACGUAACAAUAAGGAAGGCCAAUGGAAGUGCGGGAGUGGAUAAGAAAGUGAAGGGGCCAGCAUAAUUACUCGUUAUAUUUUCUUAGGAUGCAUCGCUACCACCUUUGAUGUGCAAUAUGUGGUGUGUUAUGUGAAGUUGAUGUGUAAUAUGUCUUGUGUUAUGGGAAGAAGUCAUUGUAAUGUAGUCGCUUUUGAUGUUUCAGUAGCUAUGUAAAUGAUGUUGGUGUUAAUAUUAGUAGACUGCAAUUUGUGUUC